UCACCUCCUCCUCUGACUCCACCCGCCUCCGUCCUCCCCAGCCCCCGGGCUCCCUGGCCAGUUGUUCCUUCCUGUGACUCCACUGAGUGGCGCCCAGACGGAGCCAGUGACCUUCAGCCGGCAGCAGGGGGAUAAGAAGGAGACAGAAAGCAGCCUGUUUGGAGAGAUGUACAAUGGUCUCUUUCUUGAGCGGCCUUUAGCUCUUCCCUGAUUUCCUCAGCUGUUGACUUAUUUUUGCUCGAUGCUACCAAGAAGGGAAUGGGCCCCUUGCAGAUACACGUGGUGUUUUCAUCCCAGAGCCUUUGAGAGGUGGUCAUUCUGGCGGGCAGCCAGCUCUGGGAUCUUCUGUUCGCCCCCACCCUUCCUUUGGCAACGGCACCUCAGUUUUCUGCAUUUUCAUUCCAUGCAGGUGGAAUUGACUUCAUCCCUCACUCCAGAGGUGGGCUUGUGACUCAUCAAAACAUUGCAUUGGUUCCAGGAUAACUCACGCAGAGCCAGUGAAAUGUAAUUCCACUUCUGCCGGGACUUUUAGAAAGACUGGAGUUCUAGCCACCCUCUGGCCCCCACUGGGGGAGAACCCAGCUGAAGACUGGGCCAAUGUGGAGGGAAGCGGAAUAAAAGUUGAGUGAAAUCGUGACUCAGGGGCAGAGUUUGCACCCCUGGAUCUAGCCGUACCUGAAGCUCUGUUUUUUUACGUCAGUCAAUACGUUCCCAUUUUGCUCAAGUUGUCUGGGUUGGGUUUUCCGAACUGGCAACUGAACACUUUGCGGAACACUUUCUCAUACGGUUAUUUUAUGUAACGUUUGUAUUCAUGGUGUGGGAUGGGCGUUAGCUUGCCCACUUGGUAGAUAAGGAAAAUGAGGUUCGGAAAGAACCUGGAAGGGGCCCGAGGUUGCAGAGCCUAGUAAGUGGCAAAGUCGAGAGCUCAACUCAAGACUCUGAUCCCUAAAGCCUGCCUCCUUAAUCGUUACACUUUACUACCUCGCAGGCUGAGAGAUGAAAGAAAGAGACAACAGGUGAGCCGGCCCCCCACGGCUGUCUCCUCGCAUCAGUGACUGCCUUGCAGCCAGACACUGAACUGCUGACCUCUCUUUCUUUUCACGUCGGUUAAUGUCUAAUACAACAACCGAAAAAAUCAAGGGAGUGUUGUAAAAGCAGCAGUAUUAGAAAAUGCAGUCUGAGGUACUUCUGUCUGUGUAGAAGAGAUCUCUGCUAGAGAACUUUGAACUUCCUUUGUGCAGGGACACCGAUUAUAGUUUCCUUUUCAUUGUGUUCAGAAAACGCAUAGAACAAAAUUCCACCAGGAAAUAAAGCGGUUCCCACGAGGAGAAAACUUUUCGAAGCAGCGAUUAGGGUCUCCAGGUGGCGUCCCUAAAAGGCCAAAUUCUGUGUGAUGAUAGUUUAACCCAACCCGAGUACUUUAAACACACCUGAGAAGACUCCCAACUGUGUCUUGCUGCCUCAGGUUGGCCCAGACACCCCAGAGGGAGGGAAACGGAGUCAGGGAACAACAGGGUCUAAGUUUGGAUCUGGGUCAUUUUGUCCAAACACAUCAGGGUAAUACAGGGGCAAGGAGGUCCUUGUUAGUAAGGUUGGGCAAAGAAGCAUCAUUCUUAGUGAUAGCAAUAAACUAAUAACAUCUA